GGUUCCAUAGUGUAGUGGUUAGCACAUCUGCUUUAUACGCAGAAGGUCCUGGGUUCGUGUCCCAGUGGAGCGA
rfam:Pteropus alecto contig61671, whole genome shotgun sequence.